AAACCAACUGGGAUUACCUUAGUAACGGCGAGUGAAGCGGUAAAAGCUCAAAUUUGAAAUCUGGUACUUUCAGUGCCCGAGUUGUAAUUUGUAGAAUUUGUCUUUGAUUAGGUCCUUGUCUAUGUUCCUUGGAACAGGACGUCAUCGAGGGUGAGAAUCCCGUUUGGCGAGGAUACCUUUUCUCUGUAAGACUUUUUCGAAGAGUCGAGUUGUUUGGAAAUGCAGCUCAAAGUGGGUGGUAAAUUCCAUCUAAAGCUAAAUAUUGGCGAGAGACCGAUAGCGAACAAGUACAGUGAUGGAAAGAUGAAAAGAACUUUGAAAAGAGAGUGAAAAAGUACGUGAAAUUGUUGAAAGGGAAGGGCAUUUGAUCAGACAUGGUGUUUUGUGCCCUCUGCUCCUUGUGGGUAGGGGAAUCUCGCAUUUCACUGGGCCAGCAUCAGUUUUUGGUGGCAGGAUAAAUCCAUAGGAAUGUAGCUUGCCUCGGUAAGUAUUAUAGCCUGUGGGAAUGCUGCC
rnacentral:rRNA from 1 species